rnacentral:tRNA from 1 species
GCCAGAUUAGCUCAGUGGUAGAGCACUGCUUUCGUAAAGCAGGGGUCAUCGGUUCGAAUCCGAUAUCUGGCUCCA